UACCAGCACCCCGAGUGGUCGGGACGAUUAUUGGGCCUAAAGCAUCCGUAGCCGGUUCUGCAAAUCCCCCGUUAAAUCCAGCUGCUCAACAGAUGGGCCGCGGAGGAUACUACAGAGCUAGGAGGCAGGAGAGGCAAGCGGUACUCAGUGGGUAGGGGUAAAAUCCGUUGAUCCAUUGAAGACCACCAGUGGCGAAGGCGGCUUGCCAGAAUGCGCUCGACGGUGAGGGAUGAAAGCUGGGGGAGCAAACCGG
rnacentral:rRNA from 1 species